rnacentral:rRNA from 1 species
GUGGGGAAUAUUGGACAAUGGGGGGAACCCUGAUCCAGCCAUGCCGCGUGUGUGAAGAAGGCCUUUUGGUUGUAAAGCACUUUAAGCGAGCAGGAGGCUACCGAGAUUAAUACUCUUGGAUAGUGGACGUUACUCGCAGAAUAAGCACCGGCUAACUCUGUGCCAGCAGCCGCGGUAAUACAGAGGGUGCAAGCGUUAAUCGGAAUUACUGGGCGUAAAGCGUGCGUAGGUGGUUUUGUAAGUUGGAGGUGAAAUCCCCGGGCUCAACCUGGGAACUGGCUCCACAACUGCAUGACUAGAGUACGGUAGAGGGUAGUUGAAUUUCCUGUGUAGCGGUGAAAUGCGUAGAUAUGACAUAGAACACCGAUAGCGAAGGCAGCUCACUAAGUCUGAAUUGACGCUCAUGGACGAAAGCGCGGGUAGCAAACAGGAUUAGAUACCCCUGUAGUCC